rnacentral:rRNA from 1 species
GGGUUGUGAGGUUAAGCGACUAAGCGUACACGGUGGAUGCCCUGGCAGUCAGAGGCGAUGAAGGACGUGCUAAUCUGCGAAAAGCGUCGGUAAGGUGAUAUGAACCGUUACAGCCGGCGAUGUCCGAAUGGGGAAACCCAGUGUGAUUCGUCACACUAUCGUUAACUGAAUACAUAGGUUAACGAGGCGAACCGGGGGAACUGAAACAUCUAAGUACCCCGAGGAAAAGAAAUCAACCGAGAUUCCCCCAGUAGCGGCGAGCGAACGGGGAGCAGCCCAGAGUCUGAAUCAGCUUGUGUGUUAGUGGAACGGUCUGGAAAGUCCGACGGUACAGGGUGAUAGUCCCGUACACCAAAAUGCACAGGCUGUGAACUCGAAGAGUAGGGCGGGACACGUGGUAUCCUGUCUGAAUAUGGGGGGACCAUCCUCCAAGGCUAAAUACUCCUGACUGACCGAUAGUGAACCAGUACCGUGAGGGAAAGGCGAAAAGAACCCCGGCGAGGGGAGUGAAAAAGAACCUGAAACCGUGUACGUACAAGCAGUGGGAGCACCUUCGGGUGUGACUGCGUACCUUUUGUAUAAUGGGUCAGCGACUUAUAUUCUGUAGCAAGGUUAACCGUAUAGGGGAGCCGCAGGGAAACCGAGUCUUAACUGGGCGUUAAGUUGCAGGGUAUAGACCCGAAACCCGGUGAUCUAGCCAUGGGCAGGUUGAAGGUUGGGUAACACUAACUGGAGGACCGAACCGACUAAUGUUGAAAAAUUAGCGGAUGACUUGUGGCUGGGGGUGAAAGGCCAAUCAAACCGGGAGAUAGCUGGUUCUCCCCGAAAGCUAUUUAGGUAGCGCCUCGUGAACUCAUCUUCGGGGGUAGAGCACUGUUUCGGCUAGGGGGUCAUCCCGACUUACCAACCCGAUGCAAACUACGAAUACCGAAGAAUGUUAUCACGGGAGACACACGGCGGGUGCUAACGUCCGUCGUGAAGAGGGAAACAACCCAGACCGCCAGCUAAGGUCCCAAAGUCAUGGUUAAGUGGGAAACGAUGUGGGAAGGCACAGACAGCCAGGAUGUUGGCUUAGAAGCAGCCAUCAUUUAAAGAAAGCGUAAUAGCUCACUGGUCGAGUCGGCCUGCGCGGAAGAUGUAACGGGGCUAAACCAUGCACCGAAGCUGCGGCAGCGACACUAUGUGUUGUUGGGUAGGGGAGCGUUCUGUAAGCCUGCGAAGGUGUGCUGUGAGGCAUGCUGGAGGUAUCAGAAGUGCGAAUGCUGACAUAAGUAACGAUAAAGCGGGUGAAAAGCCCGCUCGCCGGAAGACCAAGGGUUCCUGUCCAACGUUAAUCGGGGCAGGGUGAGUCGACCCCUAAGGCGAGGCCGAAAGGCGUAGUCGAUGGGAAACAGGUUAAUAUUCCUGUACUUGGUGUUACUGCGAAGGGGGGACGGAGAAGGCUAUGUUAGCCGGGCGACGGUUGUCCCGGUUUAAGCAUGUAGGCUGGUUAUCCAGGCAAAUCCGGAUAAUCAAGGCUGAGGUGUGAUGACGAGGCACUACGGUGCUGAAGUAACAAAUGCCCUGCUUCCAGGAAAAGCCUCUAAGCAUCAGGUAACAUCAAAUCGUACCCCAAACCGACACAGGUGGUCAGGUAGAGAAUACCAAGGCGCUUGAGAGAACUCGGGUGAAGGAACUAGGCAAAAUGGUGCCGUAACUUCGGGAGAAGGCACGCUGGUGUGUAGGUGAAGUCCCUGCGGAUGGAGCUGAGACCAGUCGAAGAUACCAGCUGGCUGCAACUGUUUAUUAAAAACACAGCACUGUGCAAACACGAAAGUGGACGUAUACGGUGUGACGCCUGCCCGGUGCCGGAAGGUUAAUUGAUGGGGUUAUCCGUAAGGAGAAGCUCUUGAUCGAAGCCCCGGUAAACGGCGGCCGUAACUAUAACGGUCCUAAGGUAGCGAAAUUCCUUGUCGGGUAAGUUCCGACCUGCACGAAUGGCGUAAUGAUGGCCAGGCUGUCUCCACCCGAGACUCAGUGAAAUUGAACUCGCUGUGAAGAUGCAGUGUACCCGCGGCAAGACGGAAAGACCCCGUGAACCUUUACUAUAGCUUGACACUGAACAUUGAGCCUUGAUGUGUAGGAUAGGUGGGAGGCUUUGAAGCGUGGACGCCAGUCUGCGUGGAGCCAACCUUGAAAUACCACCCUUUAAUGUUUGAUGUUCUAACGUUGGCCCCUUACCGGGGUUGCGGACAGUGUCUGGUGGGUAGUUUGACUGGGGCGGUCUCCUCCCAAAGCGUAACGGAGGAGCACGAAGGUUAGCUAAUCCUGGUCGGACAUCAGGAGGUUAGUGCAAUGGCAUAAGCUAGCUUGACUGCGAGCGUGACGGCGCGAGCAGGUGCGAAAGCAGGUCAUAGUGAUCCGGUGGUUCUGAAUGGAAGGGCCAUCGCUCAACGGAUAAAAGGUACUCCGGGGAUAACAGGCUGAUACCGCCCAAGAGUUCAUAUCGACGGCGGUGUUUGGCACCUCGAUGUCGGCUCAUCACAUCCUGGGGCUGAAGUAGGUCCCAAGGGUAUGGCUGUUCGCCAUUUAAAGUGGUACGCGAGCUGGGUUUAGAACGUCGUGAGACAGUUCGGUCCCUAUCUGCCGUGGGCGCUGGAGAAUUGAGGGGGGCUGCUCCUAGUACGAGAGGACCGGAGUGGACGCAUCACUGGUGUUCGGGUUGUCAUGCCAAUGGCACUGCCCGGUAGCUAAAUGCGGAAGAGAUAAGUGCUGAAAGCAUCUAAGCACGAAACUUGCCCCGAGAUGAGUUCUCCCUGAGACUUUAAGUCUCCUGAAGGAACGUUAAAGACGAUGACGUUGAUAGGCCGGGUGUGUAAGCGCAGCGAUGCGUUGAGCUAACCGGUACUAAUGAACCGUGAGGCUUAACCUUACAACGCCGAAG